rnacentral:rRNA from 1 species
CACCCUACGGGGGGCAGCAGUGGGGAAUAUUGCACAAUGGGGGAAACCCUGAUGCAGCGACGCCGCGUGAGUGAAGAAGUAUCUCGGUACGUAAAGCUCUAUCAGCAGGGAAGAAAAUGACGGUACCUGACUAAGAAGCCCCGGCUAACUACGUGCCAGCAGCCGCGGUAAUACGUAGGGAGCAAGCGUUAUCCGGAUUUACUGGGUGUAAAGGGCGUGUAGGCGGGCAUGCAAGCCAGAAGUGAAAUCUGGGGGCUUAAACCCCAAACUGCUUUUGGAACUGCGUGUCUUGAGUGAUGGAGAGG